GGGCGGGUAGCCUAGCCAGGAUUAGGGCACGAGCCUCCUAAGCUCGGGGUCACGGGUUCAAAUCCCGUCCCGCCCGCCA
rnacentral:tRNA from 1 species